UACCAGCACCCCGAGUGGUCGGGACGAUUAUUGGGCCUAAAGCAUCCGUAGCCGGUUCUACAAGUCUUCCGUUAAAUCCACCUGCUUAACAGAUGGGCUGCGGAGGAUACUAUAGAGCUAGGAGGCGGGAGAGGCAAGCGGUACUUAGUGGGUAGGGGGUAAAAAUCCGUUGAUCCAUUUGAAGACCACCAGUGGCGAAGGCGGCUUGCCAGAACGCACUCGACGGUGAGGGAUGAAAGCUGGGGGGAGCAAACCGGG
rnacentral:rRNA from 1 species